rnacentral:rRNA from 1 species
GAUGAACGCUAGCUACAGGCUUAACACAUGCAAGUCGAGGGGAAACGGCAUUUAGUGCUUGCACUGAAUGGACGUCGACCGGCGCACGGGUGAGUAACGCGUAUCCAACCUUCCCAUUACUGUGGGAUAACCUGCCGAAAGGCAGACUAAUACCGCAUAGUCUUCGAUGACGGCAUCAGAUUUGAAGUAAAGAUUUAUCGGUAAUGGAUGGGGAUGCGUCUGAUUAGCUUGUUGGCGGGGUAACGGCCCACCAAGGCAACGAUCAGUAGGGGUUCUGAGAGGAAGGUCCCCCACAUUGGAACUGAGACACGGUCCAAACUCCUACGGGAGGCAGCAGUGAGGAAUAUUGGUCAAUGGACGAGAGUCUGAACCAGCCAAGUAGCGUGCAGGAUGACGGCCCUAUGGGUUGUAAACUGCUUUUGUAUGGGGAUAAAGUCAAUCACGUGUGAUUGUUUGCAGGUACCAUACGAAUAAGGACCGGCUAAUUCCGUGCCAGCAGCCGCGGUAAUACGGAAGGUCCGGGCGUUAUCCGGAUUUAUUGGGUUUAAAGGGAGCGUAGGCCGGAGAUUAAGUGUGUUGUGAAAUGUAGACGCUCAACGUCUGACUUGCAGCGCAUACUGGUUUCCUCGAGUACGCACAACGUUGGCGGAAUUCGUCGUGUAGCGGUGAAAUGCUUAGAUAUGACGAAGAACUCCGAUUGCGAAGGCAGCUGACGGGAGCGCAACUGACGCUUAAGCUCGAAGGUGCGGGUAUCGAACAGG